AUCAUGUAAGUCUUCUAAAGGCUGUGCUAGCUUCAGAAACUGUUGGAGACUUCAUCCUCAAUGUGAACUGUACAUGAGACAGUACUACUCAGGCCGGAUGGACAGUGCUUAGGCCCUCUGCAGCCCAGAUCUGGUUAAUGGACCCAAUCCGGAACCAGGACAGGCCCAGCAGGGCCUCACAUAGCCACAUGGAGCGGGUGAGGAGAUCAGAAUUUGAAACGUCAGACUUACAUCCAGGUAAAUAUGGUUUAUUUAUGUUUAUCUUUUUUAUUCUGAUAAAACUAG